UACGUAGGGUGCAAGCGUUAAUCGGAAUUACUGGGCGUAAAGCGUGCGCAGGGGUGAUGUAAGACAGAUGUGAAAUCCCCGGGCUCAACCUGGGAACUGAAUUUGUGACUGCAUCGCUGGAGUGCGGCAGAGGGGGAUGGAAUUCCGCGUGUAGCAGUGAAAUGCGUAGAUAUGCGGAGGAACACCGAUGGCGAAGGCAAUCCCCUGGGCCUGCACUGACGCUCAUGCACGAAAGCGUGGGGAGCAAACAGG
rnacentral:rRNA from 1 species